AGCAAGUGAACGGGGGCAACGAGGGCGGCUGCGUGUCGGCCGCUGAGUGGGACGCGUUCAAGCAAGAGAUGCUGCGUGAAAUGCGACAGCAACUCAAUCAGGCCAAGAAAGAGAUUAUAGACGCAAUGAAGGCAGAGUUUGCGCGCAGAUAAAAUUAAAGCGCGCUACCCGAGUGAAGCUAGUCCACCGCGCCGGAUACCGGUGAAUAACUAUUUUACGUCUUAGUUAUUUAAUGAAUAGGGGAUCACUGUUACCCCACUGUAACGACCGUGAACUCAGUAGGAGCAAACACGGGGUCAACGUGACCACAACUUGAAUAUAAUUAAUAUAUUGAUCGAGACGAAUGUAAGAAUAACACCAUUUAUAGCUAAUGUUAUUUGGGGUAAGUUACCCCACUCAAUAAGGGGUUAUUAUAUUAUCACUUUUAUUAUAUAUAUUUAUAGGAUCAUAUAUUGCAUGUUCAUAUGUAAUACAUUAAUGUAAUUCGAAUAUAUGACUUGUUUGUCACACAUUUUGGAAAAGUGCUUAUCUAUUAUGAACUAUGCUCCUAUAAAUAUGAUAGUGUGAUAACCUCUCAAGGCAUUGGAGGUAUGCAUAUGAGGUCUAUUCUACUUGUUUUUUAGUAUAAUUUAUUAAUAAUUUGUAAUUUAAAAUGCUUUUGGUCUAAUGUAAACCCCCAUCGCUAUUCCAGGAGUGAAAAAAAAAAAUUAUAAUAGUUACCACUGUUCCAUGAAUUUGAUAAAGUGGGACAAUGUUGAAUGAACAGACAGCCUCGCCUAUUAUAUUAUUAAUUAUAAUAAAUGUAAUUAUAUUAUGCAUUGACAUCUUACUGUCAAUGGUUAAAAAACGCAGGAUUUGGGGUAACUUUGAUUAUGUUACCCCAAAUUUAGCGGUUCUACUGAUCCUGUCUUAAUUCUGAAUCUAAUACUAUCUAAUUAUUUAAAUAUUUUGAUAAUUAUAAUUCUUUAUUAAAAAUUAAAAAAAGAUACAAUGGUUCUAAAAUGUCGCUUUGGCAAACAAUAAUAAUUUAUAUAUCCAUUUUGUAUAAUAUUUUUAUUUAUUUAAUUAUAUCACGCAUUUCGUGAUAAUAGGAUAGAUUGAGAACUGAAAUUACGAAGUAUGGUGACGCAGAUGAGUAAUAAAUACUUCUAAAUAUAUUGAAGAUAAAGUAUGAUGACGUAAAUUAACUAAUAAAUAAUAUUAUAUCUAGUAACUAUACAGGCUGAUCGAAAUCGUUAGCUUCCUUCAGUUAAAGAUGAUGUUCUGUCGAAGUAUUAGGUCGAAAAACAAGAAAAAAAUGUUUAAAGCGUACUUUGAUAUAAAUAAUCAGUUUCACCACAAAAAAAACACCCUAUAUAAGGAUGCUAAUGAUUUCGAUCUCAGCCUGUAUAUUUAUAUAUAAUUAUAAUAGCAAUUUGUAAUUAAUUUUUGACUAUGCAAAGGUCCUAAUCAAGACUGUACAAAAUGAAGAUUGAACAAAAUAGCCUAAUUUCUUUUUUUUUUAUAAAAAUAUACGUAAAUACACGUUCGUGUGUGGGUGAUGACGUGUUUUUUAAAUUUACACAGUUUUUUAGUAUAAUUUAUACUAAAAUAUUGUUUUUUUUUGCACUAGUACUCUAUCAGAGUUUAAAUUUAAUUGUUCUAAAAAGAGUUUGACAGCUGGUUAAUUCGUCGUGGUGAGUUCAGUACAAAUCAGUCACGAUGGUUAUCGACCUGACAGAGUAUAAUGCUAAUGGGGACUAGAACCCCCAUCAUUAAAAAAUCCAGCUUAAAUACCUUCCACCCAAAUAAUAAUACGAUACAUGAAAAGUAUAUAGAUACGACAGGAAUGUGUCGAAAAUGCAAUCCGAAAAUGACCCUAAUUAUUGCCUCUAAUACUUGCCUAGACUUUUAGAAAAAUUAAUUAACCAUCUCUAGUACUAGUAGUGACAUCUAUAUUUAUGCUGUCAUUGGUUUUUUAAAGAUGAAAAAGAAAGUGGUAACCCCACCUACGCUGUCGGUAUACACUAGCGGGGUACCAGUGAUAGAUAGAUAGGUGAGGACGAAGUCAGAGCAGUUGACCUAUCGUGAUGAAUUCAACGGGAAAAUAAAUAUGAUUGUUGGCAAGAAGGAGCUCGUUGAGUCCACCUGAUGGGGGUAUAUUGCUAAGCUUACUACUAUUGGGGUUGCCAUACUCCAUUACAGAUAAUCGGUAAAUACGGGAGUUAUUUACCCACCAGAUAUUUCGUUUAUAAUUUAAUCGUUUAACGUAUCUGGUAAAAGUAAUUGCUUCCAACAAGUU
rnacentral:lncRNA from 1 species